rnacentral:misc_RNA from 1 species
UCCGGUUUAUCACCAGCAGUCUCACUAGAGUGCUCUAUCCGUAGCAACUAGUGACAAGGGUUGCGCUCGUUGCGGGACUUAACCCAACAUCUCACGACACGAGCUGACGACAGCCAUGCAGCACCUGUGUUCGAGUUCCCUUUCGGGCACUCCCGCAUCUCUGCAGGAUCCUCGACAUGUCAAGGGUAGGUAAGGUUCUUCGCGUUGCAUCGAAUUAAUCCACAUCAUCCACCGCUUGUGCGGGUCCCCGUCAAUUCCUUUGAGUUUUAAUCUUGCGACCGUACUCCCCAGGCGGUCGACUUCAUGCGUUAGCUGCGUUACUGAGAUCAUAAUAACCCCAACAACUAGUCGACAUCGUUUAGGGCGUGGACUAC